AAACCGUGAUUUACAGUCGCGCGUUUCUUUUCGUGUAAGGCUGGAUUUACACUACGUCCGAUUUUCUCUGCGUUGCGUCAUGCGUUGCGUCCGAAAAAACGCAAGCAGUACAUUUUCCAUUUAGACAGUACACUAGGUGCGAAUUUUGCAUGCGUUGCGAUCCGAAGCGAUUUAGAUAGGUAGGCCUCCUAUUUUUGACGCAACGCAAAUGAACUCGCAUGAGGAAUUCCCCUGAUGACGUCAUUCCAAUAAGGUAUUUGCCCAACACGUUGACAAUCAGGUAAGGUUAUUUCCUCAUCUUUCGAUAAACAUACGCUAU